rnacentral:tRNA from 1 species
CAGGGAGACAACAAAAUGUUUAAUAUUAAUUUUGUCACCUUAGGUCGAUCGGUAUCUCAGGUUCUUUAAUAUAUAAAGAAUUUCAAUUCCUAAGUUUUUUCUAGGUCACACCCAAUACUUUCCCUGGGCCAUUAGCUCAGGUGGUUAGAGCGCACCCCUGAUAAGGGUGAGGUCCCUGGUUCAAGUCCAGGAUGGCCCAUAUCUCUAUGUUGGGGGUAUAGCUCAGUUGGUAGAGCGCCUGCUUUGCAAGCAGGAUGUCAGCGGUUCGAGUCCGCUUACCUCCACUGAUCACCACCUCUUUCAUGAAGAAAAGGGAAAUGUUUUGAAAUGUGAUUAUUCUGAUCGAAUCUAGCUUCCUAAUAAAAAUUUACUUUAUUAAGAUGCUGGACUCAUUGAAUUUAAUUCAUUGUUUUCAGAGAACCUUGACAACUGCAUAGAUUAUUUUUAAAGACAAUAAGCAUCUUUAAUGAUGCAGAUUUAUUAUUGGUGCUUAAUGCAUUAAUAACAAUUCUAUUGAGCUGAUGCUUCAAUUUUUGAAGUUAUU